rnacentral:rRNA from 1 species
CCUACGGGGGGCAGCAGUGGGGAAUAUUGGGCAAUGGGCGCAAGCCUGACCCAGCAACGCCGCGUGAAGGAAGAAGGCUUUCGGGUUGUAAACUUCUUUUGACAGGGAAGAGUAGAAGACGGUACCUGUCGAAUAAGCCACGGCUAACUACGUGCCAGCAGCCGCGGUCAUACGGAGGUGGCAAGUGUUGUCCGGAUUUACUGGGUGUAAAGGGCGUGUAGCCGGGUUGACAAGUCAGAUGUGAAAUCCUGCGGCUUAACCGCAGAACUGCAUUUGAAACUGUUGAUCUUGAGUACUGGAGAGGCAGACGGAAUUCCUAGUGUAGCGGUGAAAUGCGUAGAUAUUAGGAGGAACACCAGUGGCGAAGGCAGUCUGCUGGACAGCAACUGACGGUGAGGCGCGAAAGCGUGGGGAGCAAACAGGAUUAGAUACCCGUGUAGUC